rnacentral:rRNA from 1 species
ACAAUAAAUCACAAUGCGGGACUAUUCGUCUUGCAAUUGGAUUGAGAACAAUGUACAACUCUUAUCGAUAAGCCAUUGGAGGGCAAGUCUGGUGCCAGCAGCCGCGGUAAUUCCAGCUCCAAUAGCGUAUAUUAACGUUGUUGCAGUUAAAAAGCUCGUAGUUGAAGUGUGGGUGGUGCCAUCUGUGGAGCUUCGGCUUUUAAGAUGAUCACUACCCCCUUCCAGUAUCCAGUAGUGGGUAUUCAGUUACUUACUACUGUGUGUUGGUCAUUUACUGUGAGAAAAUUAGAGUGUUCAAAGCAGGCGUUUGCUUGAAUAGAUUAGCAUGGAAUAAUAAUUGAAGGCUUUCGUGUUCGAUUUGAUUGGUUUGUUCAUGGAAGCAAGGUUAAAAGGAACAGUUGGGGGUAUUCAUAUUCACUAGUUAGAGGUGAAAUUCUCGGAUUUAUGGAAGAUGAACAA